rnacentral:rRNA from 1 species
AUGAACGCUGGCGGCGUGCCUAAUACAUGCCAGUCGAGCGAACAGACGAGGAGCUUGCUCCUCUGACGUUAGCGGCGGACGGGUGAGUAACACGUGGAUAACCUACCUAUAAGACUGGGAUAACUUCGGGAAACCGGAGCUAAUACCGGAUAAUAUAUUGAACCGCAUGGUUCAAUAGUGAAAGACGGUUUUGCUGUCACUUAUAGAUGGAUCCGCGCCGCAUUAGCUAGUUGGUAAGGUAACGGCUUACCAAGGCGACGAUGCGUAGCCGACCUGAGAGGGUGAUCGGCCACACUGGAACUGAGACACGGUCCAGACUCCUACGGGAGGCAGCAGUAGGGAAUCUUCCGCAAUGGGCGAAAGCCUGACGGAGCAACGCCGCGUGAGUGAUGAAGGUCUUCGGAUCGUAAAACUCUGUUAUUAGGGAAGAACAAAUGUGUAAGUAACUACGCACGUCUUGACGGUACCUAAUCAGAAAGCCACGGCUAACUACGUG